UUGGUCAUUUAGAGGAAGUAAAAGUCGUAACAAGGUUUCCGUAGGUGAACCUGCGGAAGGAUCAUUACCUAGAGUUGUAGGCUUUGCCUGCUAUCUCUUACCCAUGUCUUUUGAGUACCAUACGUUUCCUCGGUGGGUUCGCCCACCGAUUGGACAAACUUAAACCCUUUGCAGUUGAAAUCAGCGUCUGAAAAAACUUAAUAGUUACAACUUUCAACAACGGAUCUCUUGGUUCUGGCAUCGAUGGAGAACGCAGCGAAAUGCGAUAAGUAGUGUGAAUUGCAGAAUUCAGUGAAUCAUCGAAUCUUUGAACGCACAUUGCGCCCCUUGGUAUUCCAUGGGGCAUGCCUGUUCGAGCGUCAUUUGUGCCUUCAAGCUCUGCUUGGUGUUGGGUGUUUGUCUCCUGUAGACUCGCCUUAAAACAAUUGGCAGCCGGCGUAUUGAUUUCGGAGCGCAGUACAUCUCGCGCUUUGCACUCAUAACGACGACAUCCAAAAGUACAUUUUUACACUCUUGACCUCGGAUCAGGUAGGGAUACCCGCUGAACUUAAGCAUAUCAAUAAG
rnacentral:rRNA from 1 species